CUUCCUUUUCGCUUAGUUUUCAAAGAUAUCCCAAAUAUGUUAUUUCUUUGUUUCUCCUAUUUUCGGUCGUAGCUUUUGAGAUCGUAUCAAAGUUUUCCAUCUUGACUCCAGUUUGUUGAUGUCUUCUAUGAUUUUUGAUUCUGGUUUAAUUUUAUUCUGAUUUUUUCUUUCUCAAUUUGGUUGAGUAUCUAAAAGUGUGUGCAUGAAUAUCAAAUUGUCAAUUGUUGCUAUGUUUUUUUAGGAUGAAUAGGUUUUUUGAAAUGCCUAUUAAGGAUGAAAUUGGUAAACAUGGAUAAAGAAAAAUGCAAAAUCUAUUUAGCAAAUAAAAAAACCAGAAGACUUACAUCGUUGGGCACCCUCUGUUCUCUUUGACCUAUGGUUCCUUCCUACGGUUGUGGCACAAUUUGUUGUGUUUUUGUUUUAAGUUGUUUUAAUUUUUUCCUUGGUACAUUGCAGAAUUGUUAAAGCAACAAAAUAUUUGUUCAACGAUGCUAGCAGAAAUGCUCCUUGAAAAUGAGGUAACUCCCUCCUUUGCUGGAAGUGCCCUGAAAAAUAAAAGUCUGAUCAGCACCAUGACAAGAAGAUGAUGAACAUACCAUGCAGCACAACAAGACUAUAGCAAAGCGUCAAUUGGAUUAUUCAGCUAAUGUCAAAGUCAGGGAUAGUACAAGAAGGGGGCUUGUUAAAAGCCUGCAACUCAAUUUCAGGAGCGUAGGCUCAACAAUUCGGGACAAAAUAACUCCUCAUGUAUGGUUUACUGGUGAGGCUGCUGAAGGAGAUUCAAUCUGAAAAUAUAAAAGAUGUUAUCAAAGAAGAUGCGGAUUAAGAAGAUGACGAAGACAAGGAUGAAGAGGAGAUGAAGGAAAAGAAGGUGGGAUCUGCAGGGGCUUUGGAUGCCGUUUUGCAUUUGAAGAUGUUUCAUUCUACAUAGAAGCUCCAUGGCACAAGUCCCAGUUUGUAAUAAGGACUAUGAAAGACGACUAUCUCAAAUUCUUUUUCAUGGAGCAAUUCCAAAUCACGAUUCAAUGACAUCCAAGUUUGAGGAAUUCUCACAUUUGCAAGCUGCUUGUGCUGCUCUAAAGGGGAAACCCCUCCAAAAAAUUUGUGAGGUAACCCUCGAGGACCGUUCUGACUAUAGAUAUACUUCAACGGUAAUGCAUUCUUCGACAUGUUGUACAUUGGAUGAAGACCACAAAGUAAAUAGAUUGAGGUUACAAAUGUCGUUUGACGUAGUUUUGAAUGUAUCUACAUUUGGACUAUAUAGAACUCUCCUCAAUGCAUGAAAAUAUUAUUAAGUGUUAA